rnacentral:pre_miRNA from 3 species
GGUUGGGUAGGGGCCCUCGUCUUACCCAGCAGUGUUUGGGUGCUGGUUGGGAGUCUCUAAUACUGCCGGGUAAUGAUGGAGGCCCCUGUC